rfam:Triticum aestivum genome assembly, contig: Triticum_aestivum_CS42_TGACv1_scaffold_471491_6AL
UUGCUACUCCUUCCGCCCGAAAAUACUUGUCGGGAGAAUGGAUAAAAAUAGAUGUAUCUAGAACUAAAAUACGUCUAGAUACAUCCAUUUCUCUGAUAAGUAUUUACAAACGGAGGGAGUAUUAA